GACGAACGCUGGCGGCGUGCUUAACACAUGCAAGUCGAACGGAAAGGCCCUGCUUUUGUGGGGUGCUCGAGUGGCGAACGGGUGAGUAACACGUGAGUAACCUGCCCUUGACUUUGGGAUAACUUCAGGAAACUGGGGCUAAUACCGGAUAGGAGCUCCUGCUGCAUGGUGGGGGUUGGAAAGUUUCGGCGGUUGGGGAUGGACUCGCGGCUUAUCAGCUUGUUGGUGGGGUAGUGGCUUACCAAGGCUUUGACGGGUAGCCGGCCUGAGAGGGUGACCGGCCACAUUGGGACUGAGAUACGACCCAGACUCCUACGGGAGGCAGCAGUGGGGAAUAUUGCACAAUGGGCGGAAGCCUGAUGCAGCAACGCCGCGUGCGGGAUGACGGCCUUCGGGUUGUAAACCGCUUUCGCCUGUGACGAAGCGUGAGUGACGGUAAUGGGUAAAGAAGCACCGGCUAACUACGUGC
rnacentral:rRNA from 1 species